rnacentral:rRNA from 1 species
CAGUAGCCGCGGGAAUACGUAGGUGGCAAGCGUUGUCCGGAAUUAUUGGGCGUAAAGCGCGCGCAGGCGGUUCCUUAAGUCUGAUGUGAAAGCCCCCGGCUUAACCGGGGAGGGUCAUUGGAAACUGGGAGACUUAGAGUGCAGAAGAGGAGAGUGGAAUUCCAUGUGUAGCGGUGAAAUGCGUAGAUAUAUGGAGGAACACCAGUGGCGAAGGCGACUCUCUGGUCUGUAACUGACGCUGAGGCGCGAAAGCGUGGGGAGCAAACAGGAUUAGAUACCCGUGUAGUCCCUGUCUCUUAUU